UUGGAUCAUCUCGGCCCACAGUGCAGCACCGGCAGAGAGCCGUGCAGGAGGAAGGGUAAGGACAGCUGGUAAUCAAGUUUCGUCAGCUGACUGGACUGUCUUUUAUUCUUUGGUCACGUCCUUCCUGACAAGUAACAGAAGGUUUGCUUGAAAGGGGUGGAAUGGUGCUGCGACUUUGCAUGUAGAACACUCUUGACUGCAGUCCACUGCAGUGUUCUCGUCACAUUCGCUUGCUGCUGAGAUCCUGGCGCGAUCCGGUGGUAGUGGAUGUUACAUAUUAAUAAGGAAGUUUUGGAUCCUAUAGCCUGCCUGGUGGUGAAAGGCAUUGUGGCUUUCCCACCACGUGGGGUCUAAGCGUAACCUCAAGGAUCACUAUGUAUGACCCGAGAAGUCUAGACAUGAUUUUGAUGGGCCUCUAGCACCCCAGAUCCAUGAGGUCACCCACAGAAAGUCAGUGUGGCCUUCUUGGUAAGGCAUGCUUGCCCCUCACUCAGGCCUUGGGAACCAGUGGCACCUAGGAUGCUGGUGAUGUCACCAGUGGUGGUUUGCUACCUUUGUCUCUUUGGUGCCUAUGCACCAGGCACUUGCAGACUAAUCCUGACCUGCAGGGUCUAAUGACUUUCCUUCAGCACAGAGUGAUUCCUGGAAGUGCCUCUUGACCUGGCAGCUCCCUUCUUCCCCUCGUUCAUUCCCCUCAUUACUCUCCUUCCCAUAGUUCCCUGGUGUGAAUAAAGGAACAUGAGCAUAACUGGUUUAGGAUUCUUAGUCAUCCCAGGAAAGUCCACAGAUGGGCACACGCAAGCUUCGAAGUGGGCAGUGACCUGUGGACUUCACUAUACACUUCCCUGACAAAGGACGAUGAUGUGAGGAGAAUGCAGUGGACCUGCUGUAGCCUUAACAGGCACCGGGCACCCAGUGUCAGCCAUGCACAGGACUCUUCUGUACUGGGCUCGCACCAGAUCCUGUGCAUGAGAGGCAAGCGCUCUACCACUGAGCUGUAUCUCUGGCUUCUUUCUUUCUUAGAUUAACCAAGGAAGGAUGUUUGUAAUCUGACUCGAGAUUGGCAUUUAUGAACGCAGCUGUCUUGGACAUGCAAUGUGACAGUUUGCUUCUGACCUCUUGCCAGCCGUGCCGUUUUCCCUGCAGUGUCUGCACAGCGUCCACUACUUCUGUUGUUCAAUGUGUGUAGUGUUCCAUGCGCUGGGGCCUGUGUGCUAGUGCUGAAGACGUGCUCACUGCAACACUCUAUUUCCUGUUUGAGGAUGAAUGUGUGCUCGCUUGCAGUGGCCAGGACUGACUGUUUUUGCCCUUGUGCCUAGUUAAGAGAUUUCAAAAGUACAAUGACACUUUUUAUACGUUGUUAUAAUAACUGCUUUAUUGCCCUCUGAUUUUCUUCCCACAUGCCUUAAUUUUGUGGCCUGUAUCUCAUUGGAUAGAAGCUUCUCUGUGCAGCCUUUUCUUUACAUUAGUUCAUUUAUUCAUCCAUCCAUUCAUCCAUUGUGUUUGAUGUGUGUAUCUUCUUGUGCCUGUGCUCCGAUGUAAGCCAUGGUGUGGAUGUGGAGAUCAAAGGAUGUUUGGGGGUUGGUUCUCUCCUUCUACCGUAUGGGUUCCAGGGAUUGAACUCAGGUCAUCACAUGGUAGAAAGUGCCUUUACCGUCCGAGCCAUCUUAUAGCCUCCAUGUGCAGCUGUAUGCACAGUUCAAGUGGGAGGGGUUGGCUCUUGGAUAGUUUCCUGUGGCUGGAGAGAAGGUCCUGAAGCAAGAGUCUAUAGCUGUUCAGUGGAUCUUGGGGCUGCAGGGAGAAACCUAUACCUUUGCCCAGGAUUUGACUAUUUAGUGUGGCCUGGUUCACUGGUGGCUCUGCUUCCAGGACUGAAGAGAGUAGCUUCUCACAGCUUUCCAUCCAGUAACAUUGCACAGCAUUCUGUGGUGUGGGGAUGUGAGGGACACUGCCAUUUGUGCCCCAUGUAAUAUAUGACUUAUUUUGCCAGUUGAGGGUAAAAUCUGGCUGUUUGGGAUAAGCCUGGAGUGACUGAACGGAAUAAAGGAAUUUCUUCACCCCUA
rnacentral:lncRNA from 1 species